ensembl:lncRNA
GGAAACUUCUGGACUGCCCCCAAGACCUAAUCAGUCUGGCCACUCAGCCCCUGCUGGACGGUCAUUAUGGGUUAGCCCCCUCUCUGACCAUCCUGGCUACAACGAGGUCCCCAACCCUGGGAAGGCUUUCUUUCGCCCUUUCAGGGAGGCUUUCUCCUAGGAGAGGGAAAAAGUGAAAGAGAAAAAGUGAAGUGAGAGUGCUAAUCCCUCAGUCCUGUCCAACUCUUUUAUGAUCCCAUGAAUUGUCGAGGGAUCUUCCCAGCCCAGUGAUCGAACCAGUGUUGCUUGUGUCUCCUGCAUUGGCAGGCGGGUUCUUUACUGCUGGCACCAUCAGGCAGAGGACCUUCCCAACCCAGGGAUCGAGCCUGCAUCUCGGCUUCUCAGCAGCACCAGUGGUAAAGAAUCUGCCUGCCAAAGUGGGAGACACAAGAGGCGAGGCCACCAGGGAGACCUGUAAAACGGGCACAGGGCUAUCAGCGUCCUUACACGACUGCCGUGAGGAGGACUACAACCCUGCCUGGUCCAGAGUAAGUCUGGUGUUUGCUGACUCAAGGCAAUUGAGCUUCUGAGGGGUCAGCUGAGCUGCUGGAAGGAACAGGGC